rnacentral:rRNA from 1 species
ACGAACGCUGGCGGCAUGCCUAACACAUGCAAGUCGAACGAGACCUUCGGGUCUAGUGGCGCACGGGUGCGUAACGCGUGGGAACCUGCCCUUAGGUUCGGAAUAACUCCCCGAAAGGGGUGCUAAUACCGGAUAAUGUCUUCGGACCAAAGAUUUAUCGCCUUUGGAUGGGCCCGCGUUGGAUUAGCUAGUUGGUAGGGUAAAAGCCUACCAAGGCGACGAUCCAUAGCUGGUCUGAGAGGAUGAUCAGCCACACUGGGACUGAGACACGGCCCAGACUCCUACGGGAGGCAGCAGUGGGGAAUAUUGGACAAUGGGCGAAAGCCUGAACCAGCAAUGCCGCGGGAGUGAUGAAGGCCUUAGGGUUGUAAAGCUCUUUUACCCGGGAUGAUAAUGACAGUACCGGGAGAAUAAGCUCCGGCUAACUCCGUG